CCUACGGGUGGCAGCAGUGAGGAAUAUUGCACAAUGGGGGAAACCCUGAUGCAGCGAAGCCGCGUGAGUGAAGAAGUAUUUCGGUAUGUAAAGCUCCAUCAGUAGGGAAGCAAAUGAUGGUACCUGACUAAGAAGCCCCGGCUAACUACGUGCCAGCAGCCGCGGUAAUAUGUAGGGGGCAACCGUUAUCCGGAUUUACUGGGUGUAAAGGGAGCGUAGAAGGCGCGGCAAGUACGAAGUGAAAGGCAGGGGCUUAAACCCUGAACUGCUUUGGAAACUGCCAUGCUAGAGUGCUGGAGAGGUAAGUGGAAUUCCUAGUGUAGCGGUGAAAUGCAUAGAUAUUAGGAAGAACACCAGUGGCGAAGGCGGCUUACUGGACAGUAACUGACGUUGAGGCUCGAAAGCGUGGGGAUCAAACAGGAUUAGAUACCCGAGUAGUC
rnacentral:rRNA from 1 species